AUCCCCGGCGCUCCUCAGUCUAGGUGACGCGCAGUCGCCCCCCCAGGCAGCUCGGGCAGCAGCAGCAGCUGCGGCGGCUGCAGGGGCAUAUUCGGAGCGCUGGGGCGACGGGCAGCGGAGGCUGCCUUCUGCGCGCGCUGACUCUGAUCGCCACCCUUCUCCGGGAGGGGGUGCUGGGAGGCAUCCCCAGUCACCGCCCCCUCCCCACGGUGCACAGAAAGAGGAACUGGCAAGAGGUCUGUUUGCCUGGACCCAUCAACAGCUGGGAGACUAAUCAACCACACUGAAAAUGUUCGGGGAUUUGUGGGGGAGGGGUUUGGAAUGUAGAUGUUUGAAACAGAUAUGUAUAAAUAAAUGAAUUGUUGAUAACUUAGUUAUUGACCUGAUACCUUAGUUAUUGGUAGCUUGUUAAAGAAACUUCAUGUUCCUCCUUCCUGGAGUUGGGGGUUUCUGUAGGCACUUUGUUUCUCCACUUUCAAAAGCUUGGGCUUGGCCCAGCUCUGAGGCUGCCCAAUCAUGUUUCUAUUACCAAUUUAAAUCUAUGGCUUGAACCUCUACAUUGAAAAACCAAAUCCAUUCCCUUAAAAAACAACAACAACAACAAUAACAA